GAGAGAAUACACAAACAAAGAAAAGAGAAGCAAAACAACAUUGUUUCCAUGUGAUUGCAACAAGCCGUAACAGCCGUUACUAUUACACAACAGUCGUAAUAGCUAUUACACCUGCAACUCCAGAUUUGCCUGUAAAUAACGGCGUACCCUCCCAAAAUCUGUUAAUAACGGCCGUUGCGUUACAUAACGCCCAUUAUUUGAAACAUUAUAUUCAGUAAUGCGUGUUUUCUUGUUUUUUAUUUUACUAAAAGCAAAAAUAGUUUUUACUUCAUGUUGACAAGUUUUGAUAAACAAGCUUUAAACUGUCAUCUCCUACUUUCUUUUUCUCAUCUCACAUAUACUAUAAACGUUACCGUUUGCUUCAUCUUCUUUAUCUUUAAAAAAAAAUUAAGUAUUCACGGGUUUGUUCCUUUCAUCUCAUCAAGAUCUAUCAUCAAGUAUUCUUAUGUUCAGGGGAAACAUGCAUAUUGAUAGAUUUCCAUUUAGAUCACUGAAACCUAGAAACAUGUAUGUUGUAAGUUUCCAGUUAUGAAAGUGAAAGGAUUUGAUUGGGUAAUGAAGUUGUAAUC
rnacentral:misc_RNA from 1 species